rfam:Oryza sativa Japonica Group DNA, chromosome 7, cultivar: Nipponbare, complete sequence.
AAUAAAUAUAGUUUUACACGGUUCAUGUUCAACUUUUGACCGUUCGUUUUAUUUGAAAUUAUUUUAUGAUUAGUAUUUUUGUUGUUAUUAGAUGAUAAAACAUGAAUAGUACUUUACGUGUGACUAAUUUUUUUUAAUUUUUUUAUAAAUUUUUCAAAUAAGAUAAAUGGUCAAACGUCGGACACAGUUCCCCAUGACUACACUUAUU